rnacentral:rRNA from 1 species
CCCUUAGAUGUUCGGUGCCGCACGCGCGCUACACUGAAGGAAUCAGCACGUCUUUCUCCUUGUCCGAAAGGACUGGGUAACCCGCUGAACCUCCUUCGUGCUAGGGAUUGGGGCUUGUAAUUCUUCCCCAUGAACGAGGAAUUCCCAGUAAGCGCGAGUCAUAAGCUCGCGUUGAUUACGUCCCUGCCCUUUGUACACACCGCCCGUCGCUACUACCGAUUGGAUGGUUUAGUGAGAUCCUCGGAUUGGUCCCGGAGCGGCCUCUGGUCGUGCCGGAGUGCCGAAAAGAAUGUCGAACUUGAUCAUCUAGAGGAAGUAAAAGUCGUAACA